rnacentral:rRNA from 1 species
UGGGUUAGUCCGCACGAGCGCACCUUACUUCAUUGCCAGCACGUUAUGGUGGGAACUUUGAAGGAACUGCCGGUGAUAAGCCGGAGGAAGGUGGGGAUGACGUCAAGUCCUCAUGGCCCUUACGGGCCGGGCUACACACGUGAUACAAUGGUAACUACAAAAGGCAGCGAAGGAGCGAUCUGGAGCAAAUCUCUAAAAGUUACCUCAGUUCGGAUUGCACUCUGCAACUCGAGUGCAUGAAGUUGGAAUCGCUAGUAAUCGUAGAUCAGCGCGCUACGGUGAAUACGUUCCCGGGUCUUGUACACACCGCCCGUCACACCAUGGGAGUUGGUUUUACCUGAAGCUGGUUCGCUAACCGUAAGGAGGCAGCCAACCACGGUAAGAUUAGCGACUGGGGUGAAGUCGUAACAAGGUAACCGUAGGGGAACCUGCGGUUGGAUCACCUCCUUUCU